rnacentral:rRNA from 1 species
GGCUCAGGAUGAACGCUGGCGGCGUGCUUAAUACAUGCAAGUCGAACGGAGAGUAGUAAUACUCUAGUGGCGAACGGGUGAGUAACACGUAGAUGACCUGCCCCGAAGAGCGGGAUAACAGUUCGAAAGGACUGCUAAUACCGCAUGAAGUUCAGCGAGUUAGAGAGGCUGAUCAAAAGGGAAGCGCGAGUUUCCGCUUUGGGAGGGGUCUGCGUCCCAUCAGCUAGUUGGUGAGGUAAAAGCCCACCAAGGCGACGACGGGUAGGGGACCUGAGAGGGUGAUCCCCCACACUGGCACUGAAACACGGGCCAGACACCUACGGGUGGCAGCAGUAGGGAAUAUUGCACAAUGGGCGCAAGCCUGAUGCAGCAACGCCGCGUGCACGAUGAAGGCCUUCGGGUCGUAAAGUGCUUUUAGGGGAGAUGAGGAAGGACAGUAUCCCCGGAAUAAGGAUCGGCUAACUACGUGCCAGCAGCCGCGGUAAAACGUAGGAUCCGAGCGUUAUCCGAAUUCACUGGGCGUAAAGCGCGAGCAGGCGGCCUGCUAAGUUGGAUGUGAAACCUCCCGGCUCAACUGGGAGAGGACGUACAAUACUAGUAGGCUAGAGGGCAGUAGAGGGAGGUGGAAUUCCCGGUGUAGUGGUGAAAUGCGUAGAUAUCGGGAGGAACACCAGUGGCGAAAGCGGCCUCCUGGGCUGCACCUGACGCUGAGAUGCGAAAGCUAGGGGAGCAAACGGGAUUAGAAACCCCGGUAGUCCUAGCCGUAAACGAUGUAGACUGGGCGUGGGUGGGGUAAAAGCCAUCCGUGCCGAAGCCAACGCGAUAAGUCUACCGCCUG